ACGGUCUCUCCUGGUCUGAGAUGUUUUCUGUGUCAACUAGCUCUGUCACUAAUGAUAAAAGUCCUUUUUGAGAUUCCUGAGAGAACAUUUAAGCAUUGAUGACCAGAGAAGGUGGAUAGAGAUGGAGGACAUGCAUACAGACUGGAUGCUCAGCUGAAGAGAAACUCACUAGGAAUAGCUCCUGACCAUCUGGAAUGCAGAUGCUUUCCAGGUCUUGCAAACAACAAAAGUCAAUUAAGAAAAUCAAGUAAAGACCAGAAGCCAACUGUAUCCAAUUUGCAAACUCUUCAUCACUGCUGA
rnacentral:lncRNA from 1 species